AAGCUGUGCAGCGCCGCUCCCCCGACCGACUCCUUGAGAAGAAACGGCGGAGACCUGAGACCGGGAGGCCGAGGCUGUAGGUGGGCUCCGCUGGGUAAAAGUUGCCGCAGCAGCUGUCCCUUGGCCCCAUCCCGAUUUAUCUUUCCCCCUUGCUUUCCGGGUCCCGGGAUCCCAAGUUUUGUAACUAACGGGAGCGAAUCCACACCCGAGCAAAAUGUUUGCGAGUUUCAGGCGCCCUUAGUUGAAAGGCUGUAACGUAAUUAACAAGUCCGCUGUUUGCCAGCCAGGCGCCGUUGCAGGCGCUUUCUGUGGAUUGUCAUUUAUUUCUCACAGCAACUCUAGGAGGCUGUUAUCCUUGACAUCUGCAGCAGCCCUUCCAAGCUGUGGAGACCAGGUCAUCUGGAAUGCCCAUUUAUGUCAAUGGAAGAAAGAAAAAGGGGUCUCCUCCCAUCCUCACCACUGCAUUCUUUCUCCCACCAACCCUGCUCCUGUCCCACUUCCCACAACUCAGUUGUUGACAAUUGAACAGUGGGUUUCUGGAAACAGUGCUGCCUCCUUGAUGGUCUAACUACCAGAGUUAUUCUAACAGCAGGAAUUUCAAGCCAGCAAACCAGACAUACAUAGGAGGCACAGCAAAAGACCCAAGGUGAGGGGCUUCCCUCACCUUCACCCUUGUUCUCACGUGGAG